rnacentral:rRNA from 1 species
UUGACCUCGAUCAGGUAGUCGGU